AAUUAGCGUGAUCGCGUAGGCGUCGUGUCACCGUGCAGCCGCAGCUGUCACCGGCAAACCAGGUGGAACGCCGCGGGGAAACGUCGCCUUACCGGUCCGCCAUGAAUCACUUGACAGCCGCGCGCGGAUGAGAGCGCGACUCGACUCGGCGCCGCGCCGACGGGAUUUGAACGGCCAGUCGUUUCGAUUUGGCGGAGACGAAGCGGCAGGAACGCGACGAACGCGCUAAACUUCCACAGUCGCAAAAUAAAGUAAUGCGCUGUGCACUAUGUGACCCAGUCAAGUGGAACUACUGAAGACCGUAAUGGCGUUAAGAAGGUCAGCGAGAGGUUGGGCAAGUUUGCUUCAUGACACGCCGCAAGCAAAGAAUCAGGAAAAGAGUGUAGGGACUGGCAGACCACCUCCAGGAUGCCAACAGUGACUGAUGCCACAUUAGACAUUCCUUUCAGAGCAAACGGCGGCGGCGUUGGUCAGCAUCAUGCCAGCUCUCACAGGCCCUCAGGAUGCCCGCAACCCCCCAGCACCACCCAUGAACAACCCCCCACCCUUCCUUUGAGCACAGAGCUGGCAGCGACAGUGCAACAUUCCAGUGAAUUCCAGGAACUUGCACAAAAAGGAAAGCAAACAAACAAAAAGAUGUGUUGGAUCGCAACUUUGCAAUUUAAUUUGUAGGAGACUUCUUUUUUUUUUUUUUUUUUUUUUUUUUAACCAUCAAACGUUUUAUCAUCAUCACUGAGCUCAUUUCGAGGAAAUCAAC